rnacentral:piRNA from 1 species
UCCGAUGCUGAUGCCGCCUUUGAGUCCUU